AAGACUACUACUAGUCAAAGAGUAAAAAUUUUGAAGUAAAAAGAGCUAAUACUUUUAAAAGUAUUUUAGCUCAAUACAUGUGACAAAUGACAUUAAACUUGAUUUAGAGUAUUUGAAAUACUUAGAAAAUAAAUUUUAUGAUUUUUUGAUAUCAUUUGUCUAGUGAUCGAAGGGACUCAAAAUCAAUAAUUUUAAUGACUGUGGUGAGCCGUUUGCAAGUUUAACAGUGUAAAAAUAUCCAAAUCACGUGAAAUUUUAAUAGAAAAUUCUAUAUACUAUAUAAAACAAGAUCAAUAUCUUUAAUCUAAAAUUUUAAUGUCACAUUAUCACGUUUUGGAAGAUUUUUAUUUUUAGCCGUUGAUUUUGAGCCCCUUAGUUCACUUGGCAAAUGAAAAUUGCAAAAUUUAUUUUCUAGGUACUUCAAAUACUCUAGAUCAAGUUUAAGGGAGCCGAUUGACGAUUCGAAAGUCGCAACAUCAAAAACGACCUGAAAGCACGGAAGGCUCCGUGCUUUCAGAAGCAUAGUAGCCUCACUCUUUGAAGUUUAUCUCUUUUAC
rnacentral:lncRNA from 1 species